ACAUUAAGACUGAGACCUCCAAU
rnacentral:piRNA from 1 species